CCCUUAGAUGUUCUGGGCCGCACGCGCGCUACACUGAUGCAUUCAACGAGUCUAAAACCUGCUCUGAUAGGGGUGGGUAAUCUUUUGAAUGUGCAUCGUGAUUGGGAUAGAUGAUUGCAAUUUUUCAUCUUCAACGAGGAAUGCCUAGUAAACGCAAGUCAUCAGCUUGCAUUGAUUACGUCCCUGCCCUUUGUACACACCGCCCGUCGCUCCUACCGAUUGAAUGAUCCGAUGAAUAUCAUGGAUUGAGGAUGCGAGUAGGUUCGCCUAUCUUCAUCUUCGAGAAGUGAAGUAAAUCUUAUCAUUUAGAGGAAGGAGAAGUCGUAACA
rnacentral:rRNA from 1 species